rnacentral:rRNA from 1 species
AUUGAACGCUGGCGGCAGGCUUAACACAUGCAAGUCGAGCGGAGCGAGGGUGCUUGCACCUUAGCUUAGCGGCGGACGGGUGAGUAAUGCUUAGGAAUCUGCCUAUUAGUGGGGGACAACAUUCCGAAAGGAAUGCUAAUACCGCAUACGCCCUACGGGGGAAAGCAGGGGAUCUUCGGACCUUGCGCUAAUAGAUGAGCCUAAGUCGGAUUAGCUAGUUGGUGGGGUAGAGGCCUACCAAGGCGACGAUCUGUAGCGGGUCUGAGAGGAUGAUACGCACCACUGGGACUGAGACACGGCCCAGACUCCAACGGGAGGAAGCAGUGGGGAAUAUUGGGCAAUGGGCUGAAGCCUGAUCCAGCCAUGCCGCGUGUGUGAAGAAGGCCUUUUGGUUGUAAAGCACUUUAAGCGAGGAGGAGGCUCUUAAGGUUAAUACCCUUGAUGAGUGGACGUUACUCGCAGAAUAAGCACCGGCUAACUCUGUGCCAGCAGCCGCAGUAACAC